AUUGAAAGCUGGCGGCAUGCUUUACACAUGCAAGUCGAACGGUAACAGGCCGCCAGGUGCUGACGCGUGGAGAACGGGUGAGUAAUACCUCGGAACGUGCCCCGCCGUGGGGGAUAACUAACCGCAAGCGUAACCAAUACCGCAUACGAUCUAUGGCUGACAGCGGGGGACCGUUAGGACUCGCGCGACUGCCGCGGCCGAUGACCGAUUAAGUAGUUGGUGGGGUAAAGGCCCACCACGCCAACGAUUUGUAGCUGGUCGGCGAGGACGACCAGCCACACUGGGAGUGGGACACGGCCCAGACUCCUACGGGAGGCAGCAGUGGGGAAUUGUGGACAAUGGUCGCAAGCCUGAUCCAGCAAUGCCGCGUGCAGGAAGAAGUCCCUCGGGUUGUAAAAUGCUUUUGGACGGAACGAAACGGCUUUUGCUAAUAUCCGGCGCUAAUGACGGUACCGUAAGAAUAAGCACCGGCUAACUACGUG
rnacentral:rRNA from 1 species